rnacentral:rRNA from 1 species
UACGUAGGUGGCAAGCGUUGUCCGGAUUUACUGGGCGUAAAGAGCGCGCAGGCGGUCGUUCAAGUCGCGUGUGAAAGCCCCCGGCUCAACUGGGGAGGGUCACGCGAUACUGAUCGACUCGAAGGCAGGAGAGGGAAGUGGAAUUCCCGGUGUAGUGGUGAAAUGCGUAGAUAUCGGGAGGAACACCAGUGGCGAAGGCGACUUCCUGGCCUGUUCUUGACGCUGAGGCGCGAAAUCUAGGGGAGCAAACGGG